AUGGACGAAUGGACGAAGCUGGUAACUGAGGCAACAUCACUGAUAGUUGUGAUUCAUGCAUGGCUCAUGUUGAUCCACAAUAGAGCUGUUCGUUGUGGUGACAAGCAUGUCAUUCGUUAUGCUCCAAUGUUAACCCGGGAUCAGGAGAGGAUAGCAAACCCGAACUACAUCUACAACUGAAGUGAGACAGAGGCUAUGCGGAUGCUAAGAAUGAAAAGAGCACCUUUCGCCAGGCUUGUGCAGGCCUUCAGGAGUAGGGGGCUACUACAAGAGAGCAUCCACACCUGUGUGGAAGAGCAAGUUGCCAUGUUCCUCCAUGUUGUCGGUCAUAACCAGAGGUUCAGGGUUAUCCACAACACGUUCAGGAGAUCAAUUGAGACCAUUUCCAGGUACGUCAGGCAAGUGUUGUAUACUCAUGGGUAACUCAGAGGAGGGAUGAUCAGGUCACCAACCGUCCAAACUCCUAGCAAGAUUCGCACUAGCUCAAGAUGGUAUCCAUAUUUCAAGGUGAGCACUAACAAUAUGUAG
rnacentral:rRNA from 1 species